rnacentral:rRNA from 1 species
UACGUAGGGUGCGAGCGUUGUCCGGAAUUAUUGGGCGUAAAGAGCUUGUAGGCGGUCUGUCGCGUCGGAUGUGAAAGCCCGGGGCUUAACCCCGGGUCUGCAUUCGAUACGGGCAGACUAGAGUGUGGUAGGGGAGAUCGGAAUUCCUGGUGUAGCGGUGAAAUGCGCAGAUAUCAGGAGGAACACCGGUGGCGAAGGCGGAUCUCUGGGCCAUUACUGACGCUGAGGAGCGAAAGCGUGGGGAGCGAACAGG